CAACUACUCCCUCAGUCCGGAAACAACAUUUUAUAUGAAUGGAUGUAUCUAGAUGUAUUUUAAUUCUAGGUAUAUUUAUUUUUAUUAAUUUGUGCGAUAAGUAAUUUCGGACAGAGGGAGUACUAG
rnacentral:pre_miRNA from 1 species